rnacentral:tRNA from 1 species
GCGCUUGUAGUUCAGUUGGAUAGAGCGUUGCCCUCCGGAGGCAAAGAUAGAGGGUUCGAAUCCCUCCAAGCGCA